UUUUCGCGCUCUUGUCCUCCGCCAGCGUGCCACGGUGCGAAUGCCUCGGAUGCUCGAAAUUCCCGGCGACUACGACGCGUUCCAUAUAACGUCUCAUUCGUUUCGAAAUUCCUGGAUGCAGAUUAUAUAUAUAGGCAUACUAUAAAAGACGACGACGAUUCUGUCGUUCGCACAUAAUAUAAAAUCGCCGAAAUUCCGUACGGACCAAAAAUACUGC